rnacentral:rRNA from 1 species
AGCGAACGCUGGCGGCGUGCUUAACACAUGCAAGUCGAGUGCGCGGUUCGUAGCAAUACGAACUGGCGCACGGCGCACGGGUGAGGAACACGUGGGCAACAUGCCCUCCGAUGGGGAAUAACCCGCCGAAAGGCGGGCUAAUACCGCAUACGAUUCCGGGGACCUCGGUUCCUGGACUGAAAGCCCGCAAGGGCGUCGGUGGAGUGGCCCGCGGCCGAUUAGCUUGUUGGCGGGGAACGGCCACCAAGGCAAUGAUCGGUAGCCGUCUGAGAGGAUGAUCGGCCACAC